AUGUUUGUAACUGCUCACACAUACAGGACUUGAAGUCACGCUCCUCAGCUUGGCAAUGAUGGUGUAGAGUCCUGUCUCAUAACAACAAAGUUUAUCAAGCAGUUGAUAAAAACUGAUGCUACCAUCAAAGAAGGGUCAUGAUGUGAAAUGACAUUUAGUCCUGUGAGCUAUGGAUGCUGUGGAUGACAUAAUAUGUUCAACUGUAAGAGAGGAAAGUAUUUUAGGUAAAAGAAGUUGGUAGUUGGUAUCUGGGGAAUGUUAUGCAUGUAAAAAAAAAAAAAGAAGUAGAAACGCAAAGCAGAAAUUGACUGAGUUUGGAGUAUGGCACCAAAGUAAGAAAGCAGAAGUAUACUAGAGUUUGCAGUGAGUACCUCCCUAAUACUUCCUCUCCACUUUUCCAAGCUUUGGGUCCAUGAUUGCUCAACAAUUUUUUUUGGCUUUGUAUGUUAACUCUCUUUUCAGUCACCAGGUUCCAGGUGUCAUCAGGAUGCCGACCAGACUUCCCUGGAUUGAAGACACCACCAAUGUGUCCUGGAGCUCAGCUUCCCCAGAGACCCAUCCUACUAGGGAAAGAGAGAGGCAGACUGGGAGUAUGGACCGACCAGUCAACGCCCAUGUUCAGCGAGGAAGCAAUUACAGAAGCCAGACCUUCUACCUUCUGCAACCCACAAUGACCCUGGGUCCAUGCUCCCAGAGGGAUAGAGAAUGGGAAAGCUAUCGGGGGAGGGGGUGGGAUAUGGAGAUUGGGCGGUGGAAAUUGUGUGGAGUUGUACCCCUCCUACCCUAUGGUUUUGUUAAUUAAUCCUUUCUUUAAUAAAAAAAAAAGAAAAAAAAAAAAA